GGCAGACGAGGUAGUAACACGUAGGUACAUCCCCCGAAGUCGGGCAUAGCUAGCCGAAAGGCUAGGUAAUUCCCGAUAGUCCCGCAAGGGUAAAGGUUUUUCGCUUCGGGAGUGGCCUGCGCAGUAUCAGCUAGUUGGUAAGGUAACGGCUUACCAAGGCUACGACGCUUAGGGGAGCUGAGAGGCUGACCCCCACCGAUGGGACUGAGAGACGGCCCAUACUCCUACGGGAGGCCGCAGUCAAGAAACUUCCACAAUGGACGAAAGUCUGAUGGAGCGACGCCGCGUGAUGGACGAAGUGCUUCGGUACGUAAACAUCUUUUAUCGGGGACGAAAUUAUUGACGGUACCCGAUGAAUAAGGGGCUCCUAACUCUGUGCCAGCAGGAGCGGUAAUACAGAGGCCCCAAGCAUUAUCCGGAAUCACUGGGCGUAAAGGGUGUCGAGGCGGUCAUAUUAGUCCUUCGUAAAAUCUACGGGCUCAACCUGUAGUUCGCGAGGGAGACGGUAUGACUCGAGGUUGGGAGAGGUGUGUGGAACUCACGGUGUAGGGGUGAAAUCCGUUGAUAUCGUGGGGAACACCAAAGGCGAAGGCAGCACACUGGCCCAAAUCUGACGCUCACACACGAAAGCUAGGGUAGCGAACGGGAUUAGAUACCCCGGUAGUCCUAGCCCUAAACGUUGCUCGCUCGUUCUGCGGAGUAUCGACCCUCUGCGGGACUAAGCUAACGCGGUAAGCGAGCCGCCUGGGUAGUACGAUCGCAAGAUUAAAACUCAAAGGAAUAGACGGGGACUCGCACAAGCGGUGGAUAAUGUGGCU
rnacentral:rRNA from 1 species